GCAAAAGAUAUAUCCCAGAUUCGAGGAUGGAUGAAAUAAUCAGCACACGAGGGCCAAUACAUAGCAAUUAACAUUGUGCAAACAAAAGAAAAUGAUAACGAUCCCAAUAAACAAGGGGCAAAAGGAGAAGAAAGAAAUAGGGAAUUCUGCUACGUGUAGCCCACACUCUGGACCAAGAAAAUGAUAAACUGAUAGAAAGGCGUUCCGAAGGUAUAAGUUGAGGACAUAUACAAACAGUGAUGUGACCCAAGAUUAGGACUUGUGAAGAUAAUGCCACAUUUGGAGAGAGAUAGGGUGAGGGAGAAAAACAUGGUGAUUCAUAAAUAAAAGCACAAAGCAAAAUAUAAAAAGAAGGGCAACAAAAAAAAAUCUGGGGCCUAGAUGAUGUUACUGUUGGGACAUGCUCAUAGCAGUAUCAAGGUUUCAUACCAGAAGAAAAAUAAAAAAAGAUUGUUUGUGAUCUAAUAUUCUUUCUGGAUUUGAUUUUCUUUCGAGUUUCAGACAAAAGACCAGUUAAUGAACAUGAAGCAAAUGCAGUGAGCAGUCUCCUCUUCGUUUAACACUUUCCAUGCUACUGCUCUUUCAUAGGACACCGGCCUUCCCAUACUUGACAGGCAGAUACCACCCUGAAGGCACAUAAAGCCCUGCUGCAUUAUUUG
rnacentral:misc_RNA from 1 species